GACGAACGCUGGCGGCGUGCCUAAUACAUGCAAGUAGAACGCACAGUUUAUACCGUAGCUUGCUACACCAUAGACUGUGAGUUGCGAACGGGUGAGUAACGCGUAGGUAACCUGCCUGGUAGCGGGGGAUAACUAUUGGAAACGAUAGCUAAUACCGCAUAAUAUUAAUUAUUGCAUGAUAAUUAAUUGAAAGGUGCAAUUGCACCACUACCAGAUGGACCUGCGUUGUAUUAGCUAGUAGGUGAGGUAACGGCUCACCUAGGCGACGAUACAUAGCCGACCUGAGAGGGUGAUCGGCCACACUGGGACUGAGACACGGCCCAGACUCCUACGGGAGGCAGCAGUAGGGAAUCUUCGGCAAUGGACGAAAGUCUGACCGAGCAACGCCGCGUGAGUGAAGAAGGUUGUCGGAUCGUAAAGCUCUGUUGUAAGAGAAGAACGGGUGUGAGAGUGGAAAGUUCACACUGCGACGGUAUCUUACCAGAAAGGGACGGCUAACUACGUG
rnacentral:rRNA from 1 species